rnacentral:rRNA from 1 species
UACGUAGGGGGCAAGCGUUGUCCGGAAUUAUUGGGCGUAAAGCGCGCGCAGGCGGUUUUUUAAGUCUGGUGUAUAAACCUGAGGCUCAACCUUGGGACGCAUUGGAAACUGGGGAACUGGAGUGUAGGAGAGGAAAGUGGAAUUCCACGUGUAGCGGUGAAAUGCGUAGAUAUGUGGAGGAACACCAGUGGCGAAGGCGACUUUCUGGCCUAUAACUGACGCUGAGGCGGCGAAAGCGUGGGAGCAAACAGG